UGUCAGUCGACAGUAUUGUCAUAACCAGAGUUCAGAGAAAAAUAUUUUAUGCGCAUUUGAUACUGUUCUUAAUAAGAACAGCUCGUCUUAUUCCGUGUCAUAUUUUAGUAAUUGUUUAAUAGUGUGAAAGAUAAUUUAUGAGAAUGGAUGGAGAAAGGCAACCGUUGUUAGCUCCGACUGCUUCCGGCAUUCAGUUUAGGAGUUACAGACCCCUCAGUUACGAGGAUGUCCUUGCAUCGCGAAGCGCGGUUCCGUGGAGAAGAGCUCGCUUCGGCUUAGUCCUGAUGUUUUGGGCCACUAUGGCUAUAUUUCUUUCAUCAAUCGUGUCUUUGAUAAUUAAACAUAGUUGUUCCAAAGACUUGGGGUCAAUACCCACAGUUCCGCCAGUACAUAUGUCUUUUACCCCCCUAAUAUCAUAGUUAUUGUGUCAAUAUAUUUUGGAAAUGAAA